AUCAAGCUGACGAGUCCCAAGUAGGACGAAACGCUCGUCUUGGAU
rnacentral:hammerhead_ribozyme from 1 species